rnacentral:lncRNA from 1 species
CUUUUCCUGGACCAGAAUGCACCAACCUGGUGGCUAGGAGGGGGUAGGUGUGCAGAGGGCUGAACCAAGCCUCCUUCAUCCGUGGCAUGCUCUCAUAUAUUAAGAGGUCCUUCUCUGUCAAGACCACCAACACUGGCUUCCAGUGCUUCUCGUUGUCUCCCGACACCUUUUCUGCAAGCCAGCCUAGAUGUCUAAUCUCUCGACUUCCAGCAAUCCCUGCUUUACCCAGCU